ACUCCUACGGGAGGCAGCAGUGGGGAAUUUUGGACAAUGGGCGAAAGCCUGAUCCAGCAAUGCCGCGUGAGUGAAGAAGGCCUUCGGGUUGUAAAGCUCUUUUGUCAGGGAAGAAACGGUGAAAGCUAAUAUCUUUUGCUAAUGACGGUACCUGAAGAAUAAGCACCGGCUAACUACGUGCCAGCAGCCGCGGUAAUACGUAGGGUGCAAGCGUUAAUCGGAAUUACUGGGCGUAAAGCGUGCGCAGGCGGUUUUGUAAGUCUGAUGUGAAAUCCCCGGGCUCAACCUGGGAAUUGCAUUGGAGACUGCAAGGCUAGAAUCUGGCAGAGGGGGGUAGAAUUCCACGUGUAGCAGUGAAAUGCGUAGAUAUGUGGAGGAACACCGAUGGCGAAGGCAGCCCCCUGGGUCAAGAUUGACGCUCAUGCACGAAAGCGUGGGGAGCAAACAGGAUUAGAAACCCCGGUAGUCCCAUG
rnacentral:rRNA from 1 species